rnacentral:rRNA from 1 species
GACGAACGCUGGCGGCGUGCUUAACACAUGCAAGUCGAACGGAAAGGCCCAGCUUGCUGGGUACUCGAGUGUCGAACGGGUGAGUAACACGUGGGUUAUCUGCCCUCAACUUUGGGAUAAGCCUGGGAAACUGGGUCUAAUACCGGAUAUGAUCAACUGUCGCAUGGUGGUUGGUGGAAAGCUUUUGCGGUUGAGGAUGUGCCCGCGGCCUAUCAGCUUGUUGGUGGGGUAAUGGCCUACCAAGGCGACGACGGGUAGCCGACCUGAGAGGGUGAUCGGCCACACUGGGACUGAGACACGGCCCAGACUCCUACGGGAGGCAGCAGUGGGGAAUAUUGCACAAUGGGCGCAAGCCUGAUGCAGCGACGCCGCGUGAGGGAUGACGGCCUUCGGGUUGUAAACCUCUUUCACCAGGGACGAAGCGUGAGUGACGGUACCUGGAGAAGAAGCACCGGCCAACUACGUG